rnacentral:rRNA from 1 species
CCUACGGGUGGCAGCAGUGGGGAAUAUUGCUCAAUGGGCGAAACCCUGAAGCAGCAACGCCGCGUGGAGGAUGAAGGUUUUCGGAUUGUAAACUCCUUUUGUUAGAGAAGAUAAUGACGGUAUCUAACGAAUAAGCAUCGGCCAACUCCGUUCCAGCAGCCGCGGUAAUACGGAGGGUGCAAGCGUUACUCGGAAUCACUGGGCGUAAAGAGCGCGUAGGCGGGAUAGCAAGUCAGAUGUGAAAGCCUAUGGCUUAACCAUAGAACUGCAUUUGAAACUGUAAGUCUAGAGUAUGGGAGAGGUAGGUGGAAUGCGUGGUGUAGGGGUAAAAUCCGUAGAGAUCAAGAGGAAUACUGAUUGCGAAGGCGGCCUGCUAGAACAUGACUGACGCUGAUGCGCGAAAGCGUGGGGAGCAAACAGGAUUAGAUACCCCUGUAGUC